UACGUAGGGGGCAAGCGUUAUCCGGAUUCACUGGGUGUAAAGGGAGCGUAGACGGCGACGCAAGUCUGGAGUGAAAGCCCGGGGCCCAACCCCGAGACUGCUCUGGAAACUGCGUCGCUGGAGUACGGGAGGGGCAGGCGGAAUUCCUGGUGUAGCGGUGAAAUGCGUAGAUAUCAGGAGGAACACCGGCGGCGAAGGCGGCCUGCUGGACCGUGACUGACGUUGAGGCUCGAGAGCGUGGGGAGCAAACAGG
rnacentral:rRNA from 1 species